rnacentral:rRNA from 1 species
CAGUCGCCGCGGUAAUACAGAGGGUGCGAGCGUUAAUCGGAUUUACUGGGCGUAAAGCGUGCGUAGGCGGCUUCUUAAGUCGGAUGUGAAAUCCCUGAGCUUAACUUAGGAAUUGCAUUCGAGACUGGGAAGCUAGAGUAUGGGAGAGGAUGGUAGAAUUCCAGGUGUAGCGGUGAAAUGCGUAGAGAUCUGGAGGAAUACCGAUGGCGAAGGCAGCCAUCUGGCCUAAUACUGACGCUGAGGUACGAAAGCAUGGGGAGCAAACAGGAUUAGAUACCCCAGUAGUCCCUGUCUCUUAUAA